rnacentral:rRNA from 1 species
GAUGAACGCUGGCGGCGUGCCUAAUACAUGCAAGUCGAACGAACGGACGCGUACCUUGCUGGUCUGAUGUUAUGGGCGGACAAGUGAGGAAUAAGUCGUUAACCUCCUUCUCCGUCUUGGAGGACUUCGGCAUACCGGAGCUAAUACCGCAUAAUAUUUUGAACCUGAUGGUUCAAGAGUGAGAGACGGUCUUGCUGUCACUGAUGGAUGGAUCCGCGCUGCAUUAGCUUGUUGGUGAGGUGACGGCUUACCAAGGCAGCGAUGCAUAGCCGACCUGAGAGGGGGAUCGACCGCACUGGAAGUGAGACACGGCCCAGACGCCUCCGGGAGGAAGCAGUGGGGAAUAUUACGCAAUGGGGGAAAGACGGACGGAGCAACGACGCGUCAGUGAUGGAGGUCUUCGUCUCGUAGAACUCUGCUAUCAGGGAAGAACAUAUGUGUAAGUAACUGUGCACAUCUUGACGGUACCUAAUCAGAAAGCCACGGCUAACUACGUG